GAUGAACGCUGGCGGCGUGCCUAAUACAUGCAAGUCGAGCGAACAGACGAGGAGCUUGCUCCUCUGACGUUAGCGGCGGACGGGUGAGUAACACGUGGAUAACCUACCUAUAAGACUGGGAUAACUUCGGGAAACCGGAGCUAAUACCGGAUAAUAUAUUGAACCGCAUGGUUCAAUAGUGAAAGACGGUUUUGCUGUCACUUAUAGAUGGAUCCGCGCCGCAUUAGCUAGUUGGUAAGGUAACGGCUUACCAAGGCAACGAUGCGUAGCCGACCUGAGAGGGUGAUCGGCCACACUGGAACUGAGACACGGUCCAGACUCCUACGGGAGGCAGCAGUAGGGAAUCUUCCGCAAUGGGCGAAAGCCUGACGGAGCAACGCCGCGUGAGUGAUGAAGGUCUUCGGAUCGUAAAACUCUGUUAUUAGGGAAGAACAAAUGUGUAAGAAACUAUGCACGUCUUGACGGUACCUAAUCAGAAAGCCACGGCUAACUACGUG
rnacentral:rRNA from 1 species